rnacentral:lncRNA from 10 species
CUCGGCGCCGCGCGCCAAUGCACCACUUGCGCGGGGGUCGGGGGAGGAAGGGCAGCUCGCCCCGCGGAGUCCGGGCUGAACCACACUGCGCGGCCGCGGGAGGUGCCGUGGCAAUCCGGCCCUCCAGAGACCGUUCAGCUAUCUUGAGCCGCUAGAGCUAGGAGAAAAAUGCAGACGCGAGGAGACGUGGGGGAUUGCUCUUCCUUGUUUGAUGUGGGAGAAAAAGCGACUGGGGCUUGCUGGACCCGCUCCCCUGUGCGGUGACAUGGCACCUCCCUUCCGACCGUUGGCCGGGAUAGCUUUCCCGGAGGUCGCGUCCCCCAGCGGAGGCGGCGGGAAUCGCGGAGGUUUUGUGCUGCGGCUGGGGUCUUUCUGGCCGUCCCGCCUCUAGAUGCCGGGUGGCAGGGAGCCGGUGGCGGUCGGCCAUGUGAAGGUGGCCAUCUUGGCCGGCCAGCGAGGGCUCCUCACGGCCUUCCUUCGGCGUCCCUGCCCGGCUCGUUGCCGGCCCCGGGAUAUCUGAGGGGCGCAGGCCCACCUUCUAGUCGUUUCCUGGUGAAUGGCUCUGCUGAAGAUGGCCGGAAAGCAGAUUAAUGAAGGUGCUGCCAUCGAUUUAAACAAUCGCCCUCCUGCCCGCUCCCCUGCGCUAAAGUUUCUGAGGGAUCCUCACCCUUCGUGGUUCGUGGACUUAAAAGUGGAGGCAGCGCUCCAGCCUUUCCCUCCAGAGAGAAAGGAGGCCGCUCCCAAGUCCGUCCUUGCCCCGUGGCCUUCCUGUUCCUUUGAAGGGGGGGGGAAUCGAUGUUUCAAUCCUCUGUUCAGGAGAAUAUGGAACGAACAUUUCUUUUUUGGUGGGUGGGGGCUAUUCGUUCCCUUGAAUGUGCUUAAGCAGAUCUCUUGACGGCGUGGAAUGGGCUGUUUCAUGAAGCUUUCACUUUAAAAUGUCCACCUGCGUUUGUCCCAGUUUUGCCCAAUAAAGGAAUUACAGGGAAAAAGAGCGAAACAAAACUUGAGCCAGCAAGGAGUAUGGAGUCCCGUUUGGAGGGAGCCCGCCUUGGGGGCGGGGGUCUCUGCAGCCUGUUCUGGGGCUGGGCCUCGGUGCAGGUCUGGUCGGGCUGGUGGCCUGGUGGCCCUGAGCGGAGCGCGUGACAAGAACGCCGGGUUUAAUGAGGUUCUCAGGGAACGGCCUGCUCCUAGCAUGGGAUGUACUUUACGCUGGGGAGGUGAAGGAGACCCCUAGUAACAGUCUCCAGCUGCCUACUGCUGGCGGCAGUAGAACAAGGUGCAUUCCCAAGAACAAUCCUCUCCGUCGGUGCAGGAGGAAAGGUGGGAUUUGCUAAAGGCUCAGUGGGAAACAAAGGAAGCACUUGGGCUGUGCUGGGGGCAUCCACAAAGAAGAUAAAGGGCUCCUCCCCAGACUCAGUGACCACAUCCACGGUCGCUCAAAGCAGGCAGCAAGAAAAGGUUCGACCACAAAAGAGACAAUAGUGGCUUUCAAUUGCUGUCGGGAUACGGACUAAAAUCUCUACAUACUCAAGGCCCCAGUGUGAUUUGGCUGCUACUUCUGCAACCUUACCUUGUGCCACACUCUCCUUUCUGUGUUCUACUUGGAUUUUUUAGUUAGUAGCAGUUAAUUUUAUUAAUUUCAUAGUAUCAAAACAAAGGAGGACACAUUUUCAUUUAUUUUAUAUUAUUCGUAUUGUCCCUUCCUCCCUUCCACAAAUAUUUAUGAGCACAUCUGUGAGUCAGACCCAGGAGCAAAUGCUAUAACAAUCCUGGUCUCUGCCCACUCGGCGCUCUAAAUGUGGGGAGAUGCCUGGCUAACUCCUUAUCCUUCUCACUCCAGCUCAGCUACCACUUCCUGGAUGAAGCCUUCAUCUACACAGAUUUGUCACAGGGGCCUGUGUUUUAUUUCAUGGCACUAAGUGCAGUUUCAAAUUAUAGAUUUGGUGAUUAUUUGAUGAAUGUCUCCAAUUCCCAGUUAGGCUUGUAAGCUCCAUGAUAAUGAGAAGGUGGGCUGUUUUGCUCAAGCUUUGUUACUGAAUGCCUGGCACACACAAGGUGCUUAGAAAUGUUCAAGAGGGAGAGACAAGAAAGGAAGGGAAGGAAACGGAAAAUGAACGAAUAUAAAGAUGGCAGAAGGGGGCGGGGCACGGUGGCUCACGCCUGUAAUCCCAGCACUUUGGGAGGCCGAGGCGGGGUGGAUCACGAGGUCAGGAGAUCCAGACCAUCCUGGCUAACACGGUGAAAUCCCAUCUCUACUA